UGAAAACUCGUCUUGGAUCAAUAGCCAUCGAUGGAAAGAAACUCAGGCAAGUCUAGUUUCAAAUUGGCCUUGUACGCACGCUCGGCCUGCAUGGUUUCUUUCCAUUUUCAUCUCUCUUCCCUCCCCCUCCCACCAAAUAAAUAGUCGCCAUGCUCCAUUUCUUCGAUCUGCAGAAAUCGUCCGGCCAUCACCUGCCCUCCCGAAGGACCUCCAACACCAGCCAGUUUGUGUUUGGCUGCUGUGUGCUGGGCAUACAAUUCAGAGACCAAAGUACUGUGGUGCUGUGCCUGGCCUGCGACGCGGCCUUCCGUUAAUUCCUGCUGUCACGGCUGCAAGGAGUACAAGGUUUUUUAGUCAUCAUGGCUUCUUCCGGAUCCAAUGAGAAGAGAGGUGAUGAUCGCAAGGGGGGUGAAGAAGUGUGGAAAAUGGAGGCCAAGGAUAAAGAUGGAACUCCCAGAAACUCGGUAGUCUCCGCUGAAGAAUCAGAAGCUCAAGUAUCUCAACCUCGGUCAACCACGGUCACCGGAGUCUCUGCCAUCCCAACCUCUUGGAGAGUCAAAUCAUCAAACUAUCGGCUGACACCCAAAUCAUCAGCAAGGCUGUACAGAAACCCUUACUACAACUUAAUUCACAAUUUUGGAGUAGAGAACACUUCUUGUUUGGACAUUCCUGGACCUUGGGAUCGCCAUAUACCCAAGAGAGGCAAUGACCAGGAGAGCAACAGUUGGGGAACUACCAACAAUCAAAUUAUGUAGGACGUCCUUGACACCUCUGUGCUGUAGCAUCUAAUCCUGGAGAGCUAUAUAUUUUAUGUAUCUCUUGAGAGCUAUUUUACAUGCAAAGUGUGUUAUUUUCUCCUUCAGAGAAAUAUUUUCGAUGUAUCUAUUGGUGUGAGG